GAAAAAUACAAAAAGUGUGACUCAAACCUACAAGAAUUUUCUAAUCGAAAUUAGUCUGUUGAUGCGAUAAGAGAAAAUUGUUCGAAAUUCCCCCCCAAUGACUCAAUCAGCAUUACGCGUGAUCACUGUAACCGUGACGUAAGUUUACAGUUGUGGAACUGAUUUGACAGUCGCGAUAAAUUUCUGGGUUGGUCGUGUAUGCAAAGACGUGACGCUUUCGGGUGAUUGUGCUAACGGGACAAGUUUUGAGGUUUGGCAAGCAGCGUACCCAUCAUUAUAUCAGAGUUGUAACGAACUGAAACACGCUGAGCUUGCUCAAGCCAAACAGCUAGUUGUUCCAAAAAUCGUGCUGCUGGAAAACGAAUCUCAGUAGGACAUACGCAAAUAAUCAAGUUUGUUUUGAAUUGCGCAUGUGCUGAUGGAAUCUACAGAUUUACUGGAAAGAUCCUGUGGGCAGCAACAUAUAGAACGGUGUGGCUAAUACAGCUACGUUGUAAUAAGCUGGGUGAGGUAAUGGAAUUAAAGUUUCAAUCGUGAAACUUGACGAGUUUUUUUAUGGCUUGAUUUUUUUUUCUUUUUUCUUUCUUUAAAACACAGCUGUGGUUUUUUAAAUAAAGCUUCUAGCGCUAGAUGGAGUCUUUUGUCGGAGGUAUCGUGAAAAAAAGCAGGUAACACCGGAUCUCCGGAGGCAAGAUAGAAAUUCAGUCGGAAAUGCUAUCUAUUUUCCGAUAAAGGCGAUCCGCAGUGGUUCAUCGCGAGAGUCAACUAUGAGAAGUAUUGAAAGUAGAUUGACUAUCGAUCGUAUAUGAUCGAACAAGCAGGUUUACAUAAAUGAAUGGGGUUACAAUCGGACGGGCAAGGAAUCAGGACACGGGUCUUCUUGGUAAGAUGCGAUACAUUAGAAAACAGAUUUAAACAAAAAUGCAUACAACAGAAAAUUGGAAACUCAUUACACCCGUUAUGACUCACUGA